rnacentral:rRNA from 1 species
UACCAGCACCCCGAGUGGUCGGGACGAUUAUUGGGCCUAAAGCAUCCGUAGCCGGCCUUACAAGUCCUCCGUUAAAUCCAGCUGCUUAACAGAUGGGCUGCGGAGGAUACUAUAAGACUAGGAGGCAGGAGAGGCAAGCGGUACUCAGUGGGUAGGGUAAAUCCGUUGAUCCAUUGAAGACCACCAGUGGCGAAGGCGGCUUGCCAGAAUGCGCUCGACGGUGAGGGAUGAAAGCUGGGGAGCAAACCGGG